UACAGAGGGGGCAAGCGUUAUCCGGAAUUAUUGGGCGUAAAGCGCACGUAGGCGGUUCGUUAAGUCGGAUGUGAAAGCCCUCGGCUCAACUGAGGAAGUGCACCCGAAACUGGCGAGCUUGAGUACGAAAGAGGAUCGCGGAAUUCCCGGUGUAGAGGUGAAAUUCGUAGAUAUCGGGAGGAACACCGGCGGCGAAGGCGGCGAUCUGGGUCGAUACUGACGCUGAGGUGCGAAAGCGUGGGGAGCAAACAGG
rnacentral:rRNA from 1 species